UCGAGCGAGUCUGCCUUGAAGAUCGGAGUGCUUGCACUCUGUGAAACAAGAUACAGGCUAGCGGCGGACGGGUGAGUAACACGUGGGUAACCUGCCCAAGAGAUCGGGAUAACACCUGGAAACAGAUGCUAAUACCGGAUAACAACAGAUGAUGCCUAUCAACUGUUUAAAAGAUGGUUCUGCUAUCACUCUUGGAUGGACCUGCGGUGCAUUAGCUAGUUGGUAGGGUAACGGCCUACCAAGGCGAUGAUGCAUAGCCGAGUUGAGAGACUGAUCGGCCACAUUGGGACUGAGACACGGCCCAAACUCCUACGGGAGGCAGCAGUAGGGAAUCUUCCACAAUGGACGCAAGUCUGAUGGAGCAACGCCGCGUGAGUGAAGAAGGGUUUCGGCUCGUAAAGCUCUGUUGUUGGUGAAGAAGGACAGGGGUAGUAACUGACCUUUGUUUGACGGUAAUCAAUUAGAAAGUCACGGCUAACUACGUGCCAGCAGCCGCGGUAAUACGUAGGUGGCAAGCGUUGUCCGGAUUUAUUGGGCGUAAAGCGAGUGCAGGCGGCUCGAUAAGUCUGAUGUGAAAGCCUUCGGCUCAACCGGAGAAUUGCAUCAGAAACUGUCGAGCUUGAGUACAGAAGAGGAGAGUGGAACUCCAUGUGUAGCGGUGAAAUGCGUAGAUAUAUGGAAGAACACCGGUGGCGAAGGCGGCUCUCUGGUCUGUUACUGACGCUGAGGCUCGAAANNNUGGGUAGCGAGCAGGAUUAGAUACCCUGGUAGUCCAUGCCGUANACGAUGAGNNNUAAGUGUUGGGAGGUUUCCGCCUCUCAGUGCUGCAGCUAA
rnacentral:rRNA from 1 species